AUAUGUGAUCGUCUCUCGCAUAUCAAUAAGCGGAGGAAAAGAAACUAACAAGGAUUCCCCUAGUAACGGCGAGUGAAGCGGGAAGAGCUCAAAUUUGAAAUCUUAAAGGGUUUCCCUUUACGAAUUGUAGUUUAAAGAAGUGUUUUCUGUUGAGGUUUUGGUAAAAGUUCUUUGGAAUAGGACAUCAUAGAGGGUGAGAAUCCCGUAUUUGACCUUUACUUUCAACUUUGUGAUACACUUUCAAAGAGUCGGAUUGUUUGGGAAUGCAGUCCAAAAUGGGUGGUAAAUUUCAUCUAAAGCUAAAUAUUGGCGAGAGACCGAUAGCGAACAAGUACCGUGAGGGAAAGAUGAAAAGAACUUUGAAAAGAGAGUUAAACAGUACGUGAAAUUGUCAAAAGGGAAGCGUUUGACACCAGCUGUUGUUUUUCUGAAAAUCAAUUAAAGAACUGUUUAUGCUAAGUUGUUUAGACUUUAUCAGCUAUCUGCUUAGUUUUGAGCUUUUCUUUAAUGCACUUUUCAGUUAACAAGUCGACAUCAAUUUCUUUUGCUGUAAAAAAGCUUGAGGAAGGUGGCUUGAGAUUCGUCUUAAGUGUUUAUAGCCUCUUGCCUAUGCAGUCGGAGAGAUUGAGGUCUGCAGCGUAGAUCCUUCGGGGCUAAAUGCAUUUGUGCUAAGUUAUAGCAUUUUAUAGGACAACUUGUUGACUAUGAUUUGUCUUGUAGCUUACUCGCUUAUGUUAUUUUACCUACGCUUAGGAUGUUGACGAGACUGUCGAUCUC
rnacentral:rRNA from 1 species